ACCUGUAUCUACACAUCCAUCACGCAUGCCUAAUCACCUGAACGGCAAGCAGUAGCCACAAAUUCAUCACACAUACCUAAUCACCAGGAGCUACAACUCCAUCUGUGCAUACAUGCUUUGAAAAAUCUCAGCCUAAGAAGAACCAUAGAUCUCGUCGCAAAAAUGAAAAAAAAAGAACAACCAUAGAUCGUAUCAAGAUAGAAGGGAAACCAACGGGUGGAUGUAGAAAAUCUAGAGCACAUCACGCCUCAAAUUACACAUGCAUGCUAACGCAAUUGACCGCUCCUUCUGCUAAAAACUGCAUUGAACCGCUCCCCACCGCGUGCCCCUCCAUGUGACUUGCUUUCCAGAUUAGUUACCUCCCCGCCACUGCUCAUGCCUGCCGCCCAUGUCCGACGAGCUUGCAGGUGGAAGACCCAACCCUCACACACCUGAUAUAUGACGAGGGGUAGAGGAGGAGCAGCAUCCUGGGGAGCAGCCAAUCUAUAAAGCCACAAUGGGAGCGCAGGGAAUUCGCUGCUGACCAAUGCCAUAUCUGCCAGCAACAUCCGUUCACAUGGUUCACACGAGCUCAGAUCCGGCAACGACUAUGAUAGCAUCGUACAGGGUGGCGCGCGUGCGAGUAGCAAUUUACCUGACGCCGCCAUCCCGUUUCUCACCGACGAACUUGUCGGCAGCGGCGGAUAGCUUGAGGUGACUCUCGUCGGGAACCGUUCUUCUCAUCCCAAUGAUUUUCUCCACACAUCGUCUUUGUGAAGCCUCCUUCUCUUUCUCGUAGGAGCCAAAAGUGCAGAAGUGCGUUGGCUGGCGACGAGCGGCGCAACCAAGGGAAACUCGUGAGGGAGGGAGCAAAGGAGAUCUCAAGUCUCUACUCGCGAUCUUGGUGGUGUGGAGCCGCAUCGCAACGAACUCUCACACGAUUCGUUGUCCAUUGGAUCAUGGUGUUUUCACGCUUGAUUGAUUGAUCGUGUACGAAACGUUUUUACUACGGGUUAAUUCCCUUAAUUAUUAAAGAGUUUUCUAUAAAAUUAAUGACGGACUAAGAAUACCUAUUUCUUUUA
rnacentral:lncRNA from 1 species